CUUUUUAAAAUAUAAAACUUAGUUUGAGCUUCAGCUGCAGGUCCACAAGGAACCCUGCAGGUCUGUGAAGAACCCUGCAGGUCCACAAGGAACCCUGCAGGUCUGUGAAGAACCCUGCAGGUCCACAAGGAACCCUGCAGGUCUGUGAAGAACCCUGCAGGUCCACAAGGAACCCUGCAGGUCUGUGAGGUGGHCCUUGAUCAGAGGACUGAGGCGUA